rnacentral:rRNA from 1 species
GGCGGCGUGCCUAAUACAUGCAAGUAGAACGCUGAGGUUUGGUGUUUACACUAGACUGAUGAGUUGCGAACGGGUGAGUAACGCGUAGGUAACCUGCCUCAUAGCGGGGGAUAACUAUUGGAAACGAUAGCUAAUACCGCAUAAGAGUAAUUAACACAUGUUAGUUAUUUAAAAGGAGCAAUUGCUUCACUGUGAGAUGGACCUGCGUUGUAUUAGCUAGUUGGUGAGGUAAAGGCUCACCAAGGCGACGAUACAUAGCCGACCUGAGAGGGUGAUCGGCCACACUGGGACUGAGACACGGCCCAGACUCCUACGGGAGGCAGCAGUAGGGAAUCUUCGGCAAUGGACGGAAGUCUGACCGAGCAACGCCGCGUGAGUGAAGAAGGUUUUCGGAUCGUAAAGCUCUGUUGUUAGAGAAGAACGUUGGUAGGAGUGGAAAAUCUACCAAGUGACGGUAACUAACCAGAAAGGGACGGCUAACUACGUGCCAGCAGCCGCGG